CCGUCUCAAAAAAAAAAAAAAAAAAAAAUUUGAAGGGAGAAUCUAAAGGACUGGGUGAUGAAUUGGAUAUCAUCCAAUUAGAUGGAAGGGAAGGAAGAGAGAGACUCUGGCAAACUUGGCAGCCCAGCUGCUACAUAUUUCACUGGCAGUUACCUGGGAAAAUGUCCAAAUGGAGAAAAACACCCUGGUUGGUGUGAUGACGCAGGCACUUAAAAGAUACUGAUCUACAGUGAAUACCUCCAAAGUAUAUCUCAGAGUCAACUUUCAGAAAACCCAACAGAUUGCAGCUUGUACCAUUAUUGAGGUGCUCCAAAAUAGCAAAGGAUGGGCCAAAGCUUUGGAACUGGAUUACUCAUUAUCCAGCUGACAUACAAACCCCACCACUGUGGCAGGUGGAGCACAAAGAGGCCCCGGCAUAAGGAGGUGGUUCAAUCAUUAAAUAGUUCACCAAUAGUAAAUUAAGAGGAAGCACCUGUGUUAUGUAACAGAUGUUUGAACUUAGGAGAUAGAUUAUUAUUAAAUAGCAGGUUUGGGUGCUGAUAUGUUUUGGCUGUGUCCCCAGCCAAACCUCAUCUUGAGUUGUAGCUCCCAUCAUCCCCCCGUGUCGUGGGAGGGACCCGGGGGAAGGUAAUUGUAUCAUGGAGGUGGGUUUUUCCCAUGCUGUUCUUGUGGUAGUGAAUAAAUCUCAUGAGAUCUGAUGGUUUUAUAAGGGCAGUUCCUCUGUACACGCUCUCCUGCCUGUCACCAUGUAAGACGUGUCUUUGCUCCUCCUUCAUUGUGAGGACUUCCCAGCCAUGUGAAACUGUGAGUUCAUUAAACCUCUUUUUCUUUAU